UACGUAGGCAGCGAGCGUUGUUCGGAGUUACUGGGCGUAAAGGGUGUGUAGGCGGUUGUUUAAGUUUGGUGUGAAAUCUCCCGGCUCAACUGGGAGGGUGCGCCGAAUACUGAAUGACUAGAGUGCGGGAGAGGAAAGUGGAAUUCCUGGUGUAGCGGUGAAAUGCGUAGAUAUCAGGAGGAACACCGGUGGCGAAGGCGGGUCUCUGGGCCGAUACUGACGCUGAGGCGCGAAAGCGUGGGGAGCAGACGGG
rnacentral:rRNA from 1 species